AGAGCGAACGCUGGCGGCAGGCUUAACACAUGCAAGUCGAGCGGGCGUAGCAAUACGUCAGCGGCAGACGGGUGAGUAACGCGUGGGAACGUACCUUUUGGUUCGGAACAACACAGGGAAACUUGUGCUAAUACCGGAUAAGCCCUUACGGGGAAAGAUUUAUCGCCGAAAGAUCGGCCCGCGUCUGAUUAGCUAGUUGGUGAGGUAAUGGCUCACCAAGGCGACGAUCAGUAGCUGGUCUGAGAGGAUGAUCAGCCACAUUGGGACUGAGACACGGCCCAAAACUCCUACGGGAGGCAGCAGUGGGGAAUAUUGGACAAUGGGCGCAAGCCUGAUCCAGCCAUGCCGCGUGAGUGAUGAAGGCCCUAGGGUUGUAAAGCUCUUUUGUGCGGGAAGAUAAUGACGGUACCGCAAGAAUAAGCCCCGGCUAACUUCGUGCCAGCAGCCGC
rnacentral:rRNA from 1 species